CUGCUUUAAGGGAUCAGAGUUGACUUAGAAAGCCAAUAAAAGCCCCUUUGGAAAGCUGGCCUCCUACCUUGUCUACCCAGUUCUUGUACAGGUUUCUGACCUGUGCUGUGCCUUCUUAAAGGCUGGAGCCUGGAGCACAUGAGGAGAAUUCACAGAAGUGCCUGGAAAGGGAACUGCGGUGGAUCUUACAGAGACUUGAAACAUGUGGAGAAGUUUGGCUUUUAUUCAUAAAGGACAAAGUGCUGCCUCCACCUCCCCACCUGUCUAGUUUUAUUCAGUGAUGUCUAUCCUCAUGACUUGGGCCAUUUUCAUCAUCACGUCUAUUUGGUUAC
rnacentral:lncRNA from 1 species